rnacentral:rRNA from 1 species
GACGAACGCUGGCGGCAGGCCUAACACAUGCAAGUCGAGCGAGCGGCGGACGGGUGCGUAAUGUAUGGGGACUGCCCGAUAGAGGGGGAUAACUACUGGAAACGGUAGCUAAUACCGCAUACUAUAGGCUAAACCAACUGGGAUUAGCUAGUAGGGGAGGUAAUGGAUCACCUAGGCGACGAUCCCUAGCUGGUCUGAGAGGAUUAUCAGCCACACUGGGACUGAGACACGGCCCAGACUCCUACGGAGGCAGCAGUGGGGAAUAUUGCACAAUGGGCGCAAGCCUGAUGCAGCCAUGCCGCGUGUAUGAAGAAGGCCCUAGGGUUGUAAAGUACUUUCAGUCGGGAGGCGUUACCGACAGAAGAAGCACCGGCUAACUCCGUGCCAGCAGCCGCGGUAAUUC